CUAAUCCAUUUCAUUUUACUCUCUUAUCUCUCCUUCUAUCCGAGGCGGCGAUUUUUGUUUCUUUCACUCUUCUUCUUCUUCGUUGAUUCAAAACUCUAUAGCAAUUCAAAGAUCGGAGCUAAAUCAUGACUAACAAAAAUUUAAUAUUUGGUGGCUCUGUUGACAUCCGAAUGUUUUCUGUCAAAGAAUCUAAUUAUCCGACUCCAAAGAAAGGAGGAUCAUCGUUUACUAGUACUGAUAGAAGCUCUAAACUGCACUCUAGACCAUAUGUCAUUAGAAGUACUUGUUAGCCACGGAAGAGACAUCCUCCACCAGUUAUGGCGCUAUUGGGAGAUAUUCUUACUACUAGAUAGCAAAGAAGAGAGACAACACUAUGAAGCAUACCUUUUGGUACAGACGAUAACACGCUGUGCACCAGCCACUCACUUCCACACCUGGAGGAAGGUCGGAUCUUAUUGUCUAAUCCUAAGUAUGAAUGCCUCGUCUCCUCGCCAAUUCUGUCUGUUACCGCUUGCUGCGGAGGUGUAGUCAGCAGAGUCUCACUCAUGAAAAAGGGCAAAGCUGAAGUGAAUAAGAUAAAGUCAUGUCCCUCGGCUCUGGUGACAUCCGAAUGCUGACGCGUUUGAUGGCUCUGGCGACAUCCGAAUGCCGAGGCGUUUGGCAGCUCCGCUGACAUCUGAAUGCCGAGGCAUUUGGUGGCUCCGACGACCGACAUCCGAAUGCUGACGCGUUUGGUGGCUCCGUUGACAUCCGAAUGUUUACGUGUUUGGUGGCUCUGGUGACAUCUGAACGCCGAGGCGUUUGGUGGCUCGGUUGACAUCCGAAUGCUUACGCGUUUGGUGGCUCCGGUAACAUCCGGAUGCUUAUUCUGUUAAAGAAUCUGAUUAUCUGUCUCCAAAGGUACAAAUUCUUAACCCCGUUGACAUCCGAAUGCUUUCGCGUUUGGUGGCUCGGUUGACACCCGAAUGCUUACGCGUUUGGUGGCUCCGGUAACAUCCGAAUGCUUAAUCUGUCAAAGAAUCUAACUAUCUGUCUCCAAAGGUACAAAUUCUUAACUCCCCGAUUAUGUAUCUUGUUUGUUACUUUGUUGCACAACUUGAUGACUUAUUCCAGGGACAGAAAAUAUUCAGUAGGGAGACUUUACAAGGAAGAAUACUUGGCAUUUGGUCAGCUUGAUGCUUGGGUAAUGUUUCAACUAAAUUAGCCCUGUUUAGCUUUUGUUUUAUAUACUGCUAUUGGUACUCUUUCUUUCAAAAUUAAAUCUUGUGUUCAAUUUGUUUGAGAAAGAAGAAAACCAGUUACAUGUCAAAUCAAAAGGUAAACAUUCUUAACCCUACCUUGAUCUUAAUUUUCCCUUAUAUUUCUAAAAUGUUGGAGUUUCUUUUUUGCUUGUUACAGGUAUAUCGUUCUUGUUGUGUCAGGUUAGUACAUUUUUUGCCUUUACAAAGACAUAGUAGUUGUUAUCUCAUGGAUAAACAAUUGCAGGAAAAACAGUGAGAUUCUUUUCUUACAUCAAUAUGUAUCGAGGCAGUGAUGGUUAAAUAGUUUAGAGGCAUGCAUGUCACAUUCCAUUUUGGUAUAAUUUUUGUUACAAAUAAAAAGGUAAACAUUGUUAACUCUAACUCUCUUUGUUUAUUAUGUUUUGCAUAAAGUUGUUUCUAACUUGAGCGUCGGAGUAUCUUUUUUGUUUUUUGCAGGUUUUGCUUUUGUAUUCCUAUGCCCAAUUCAAUUACCAGACUUGAAACGGAGCGCUGGUGCCGCAUGUGGAAUGCUUAGCUUUUGAUCAGUUUGCCUCUGUCUGACUUCAAAGGAUACAAAUGGAGAUCGGUCAGUCCCAUGAAUUGUGUACUAAUGAGAUCUCUUCUUCCUUGAAUCAAAAGUCUUGGCUGCUUAUUUGGAGGCUGCUCAACAGGGAGAAUUUUUAAUGUGGAAUGCUGUUGCCUGGGUAGAGAAUGCUUGCAUGCUUGGCAUUUGAGCAGUAUACUGUCAGGAGAUCAAGGGCAUAAUCAAGGCAAGUCUCCAGAACAACAUUGUUCGUGCACUGCAUACAUCUGGAAUGAUUUCCCACCUUUCAUGGUUCUGGUAAUAGCUAUACUGAACGAUGGUACCAUUAUGACGAUAUCCAAAGACCGUGUGAAGCCUUCUCCGAAACCAGACAACUGGAAACUGAAUGAGAUAUUCACAACUAGCAUUGUCAUAGGGACUUAUCUUGCACUAGUUACCGUAUUUUUUACUGGAUAGUCAUGGCGACAACUUUCUUUCAGACGCACUUCCAUUUGAGGUCUCUAAGCUUAACUAACAGGAAGGUAUCUUCAUGUCAGCGUCAUCAGCCAAACUGUAAUAUUUGUUACUCACAGUCAAAGCUGGUCAUUUGUCGAAAGGCCAGGUGUUCUAUUGAUGUGUGCAUUUCUGGUGGCUCGGCUGGUUGCUACCGUGAUAGCAGUCUAUGCAAAUGUCAGCUUCGCAUCAAUCCAAGGCAUUGGAUGGGGUUGGGCUGCUGCAAAGUAUGACAAUAAUAUAAAAAACUGUGACACCGGGACUAACUGCUAACAAUAAUAUAUUUCAGCUGCAGACGGCUUUCACUUCUAAGAAAGAUUACGGGAAGGAAGACAGAGAAGCAAAGUGGGUUCUUUCUCAAAGAUUAUUAGAAGGGAUCAACUCCACUGAUUUAGACACAACUGGAUGGAGGUCUUCAAUACUAGCGGGAAAUAUGGGGUAAGAGACUUAUUAAUGAUGGUGCUUAUUACAUUUCCGAGCCUGGCAUAGUUAACGUAAUCUGUGGGGCAGUGAGCUGAAAUGCCUGGGAGAGCUAACCCCAUAAUCCUAAAGAUGCAAAACCAACCUUCGUUGUACCAGACACAUUAAGCUCCUCAGUAACUCCCAAGCAGCAUUUAGAUACUCUGGAAUCAGGAAUUUUAUCCCAUAGAAGUUGGGAUUAGGCUCUUCCUCCACUUCCCUCAAGGAUAAAAAACAAAAUCAAGAUCGCAGCUGAGCUAAUUGAGAAGCAUUGUUUAAACGAAAUCUUAUAUAUGUUGGAUCAAUGUGCACAUUAAGAUUAAUAGACUAAUUACCUUUUCAAUGUA